rnacentral:rRNA from 1 species
CCUACGGGUGGCAGCAGUGGGGAAUAUUGCACAAUGGGGGAAACCCUGAUGCAGCAACGCCGCGUGAGGGAAGAAGGAUUUCGGUAUGUAAAGCUCUAUCAGCAGGGAAGAAAAUGACGGUACGGGAUUAAGAAGCCCCGGCUAACGACGUGCCAGCAGGCGCGGUAAUACGGAGGGGGCAAGCGUGAACCGGAUUUAAGGGGUGUAAAGGGAGCGUAGACGGCAGCGCAAGUCUGAAGUGAAAUGCCGGGGCUGAACCCCGGAACUGCCUUGGAAACUGUGCAGCUAGAGUGCAGGAGAGGAAAGUGGAAUUCCUAGUGUAGCGGUGAAAUGCGUAGAUAUUAGGAGGAACACCAGUGGCGAAGGCGGCUUACUGGACUGUAACUGACGUUGAGGCUCGAAAGCGUGGGGAGCAAACAGGAUUAGAUACCCUUGUAGUC